ACACAAACAAGUUCCACUUUCAUACAUGCAAAGAACAAACCUGACUGCUUUCCUAUGAAUUGUCACUGAGUGGUUCGAGCUGUGUCCUCAUAAGGACAUGCAGGAGUGGGCAACAGCAGGAGUACUCAAAGGAUUCUUCUGCCCACGGUACCAAUUAAGAGUUCUUCUGGUCUGCAAGCCAAAAAGAAGGAAAACAAAGCCUCAUCCUCCGGUCUGCAUCCCUAAAGCAAACUGAAAGUGUUGAGUAGAACUGAUUGCUUCUUCACAGGUUGUUUUUCAGAUAACUGAGCUGGCUUUGAACAUCUCUCCUGCAUUGGGACUUUCAGUACUUUCACUACUCUUCGGCUCCAGAAGCUGCACUUCAGUCAAAACGUGGCAUUUAAAGUCCUUCAUAUCUGAGAUAAUUAGUUUCUUUUUGACUACCUUUUCAGUGAGAGAGAGUGCAAGCAUUGUCAUACAGGAUUUGCAUGGUGGCUAUUUGUCUCUAAGUAACAUUGUUAUUUGGUCUUUGUUACCUUAAGGAUUGAAGUUUGAAGGUUAUGCUGGGCUUCAUUUUCAUGCAACCCUUACAAAUACAAUGUGUUCUAACUCACACCAAGUAAGGAUACCUAAAUAUAGAGGCCGAAGCUACAGGACAGACCUUGCAGAUACGCUCUGGGGGUUUUCCCUUCCUGCCCCACUGAGCCAGCAGGGAGCCCUCUCCUGCACAAUGCAAUGCAGUGGUUUCUCCUUGGAGCAGGCAGAUGUGCUUUCCCUUCUGUCCAAAUAUCUUUGCAAGCACACGAGCCUUCCAGCUGCACCCAGGCCAGUUGUUUUGUC
rnacentral:lncRNA from 1 species